rnacentral:rRNA from 1 species
AGUGAACGCUGGCGGUAGGCCUAACACAUGCAAGUCGAACGGCAGCACAGAGGAGCUUGCUCCUUGGGUGGCGAGUGGCGGACGGGUGAGGAAUACAUCGGAAUCUACUCUGUCGUGGGGGAUAACGUAGGGAAACUUACGCUAAUACCGCAUACGACCUACGGGUGAAAGCAGGGGAUCUUCGGACCUUGCGCGAUUGAAUGAGCCGAUGUCGGAUUAGCUAGUUGGCGGGGUAAAGGCCCACCAAGGCGACGAUCCGUAGCUGGUCUGAGAGGAUGAUCAGCCACACUGGAACUGAGACACGGUCCAGACUCCUACGGGAGGCAGCAGUGGGGAAUAUUGGACAAUGGGCGCAAGCCUGAUCCAGCCAUACCGCGUGGGUGAAGAAGGCCUUCGGGUUGUAAAGCCCUUUUGUUGGGAAAGAAAUCCAUCUGGUUAAUACCAGGGUGGGAUGACAGUACCCAAAGAAUAAGCACCGGCUAACUUCGUGCCAGCCGCCGCAGUAA